ACAUUAAAUAUUCAAAGGAAACUUGCCGUAUAUUUCACGAUUGCCAAUAGUAAAUCAAUUCUUCUCAUUUCUUCAAACAAAAUUACUUCAAGCUUGUUGCAUAUGAAACGAUUUCCCAAAUAUAUGUCUUUUGAAAUUGAAAUCUUGCUCAUCCCACUCCUACAAGCAAUCAGCCAUAUUUUUGAGAUCAGUGAGGAUGACCACCCACUCACCAUCGUUGGUGACCGACGCCCACGAUAUUUGAUAAACUUUAGACUUCACUAAUGCUUUCGUUUCCCCGGGUGUAAAUAGCCGGGGGGGAUUAGUACCCUCACACGACGCUUUGCGCCGUCGGCUCGGGGACAAAAGCUUGAAGCAAUUUUGUUUGAAGAAAUGAGAAGAAUCGAUUACUAUGGGAAAUCGUGAAAUAUACGGCAAGUUUCCUUUGAAUAUCUAUUUAAUGUUU